AACGGCUACUGUGCGCAAUUUACC
rnacentral:siRNA from 1 species